AGUAGCAGCAACCUCUCCUCUGGUUAAAUUAGAAGAAACUGGCUAGAGAGAGCUCAGAUACAGGGCUGAAAACAAAGACAUCCAAACCUUGAGCUGUUUAGAAGAGGAAGAUGCCAAAAUCUGUGCCAGAGGUUUGACUGCUGGGAUACUCAUGGCUUCAGAUUGAAUCUGCAUGGAUAUAUCUACAGUGAUGACUUGGACUGUCUCCUUGUGUCACCUUCGUAUCUUUUUUCCCCUUUUCCAAUGUUCCUUAUCUUUGCUGAGUGUCAUCAUCAUAAUAAUUCUUAUUACUCACCCACCUAAAAAUUUGUGGCUGGUGCAUUUUUGCUAUUUCAGUUCCAGUCCUUUUUAGAUUGUUCAUAAACAGAAGCAAAUUAAACAGUGUGGAAUCCAGACUGGAACCUUGAGGCAUAUGAUGUUUUCCCGGGUGAAAAUAGGCCAUCUGAUUCUUCACUUCUUUCCCCUUUAUUAAAGUUUCAUCAAAAUAAUAGUUUUCUUCCUUCUCUGAAUCCCUACAGUUU